rnacentral:ncRNA from 2 species
AUUUUGAUUGGUUGGUGGCGUAUUCGAAAGGAACGUCAUUGUCAUAGUCUUUUUUAAACUAUGGAGCGCUACUGGUUGG